rnacentral:rRNA from 1 species
CGAGGAAAAGAAAUCAACCGAGAUUCCGAAAGUAGCGGCGAGCGAAAUUGGACUAGCCCUUAAGCUUUACACGCGUUAGACGAACGGUCUGGAAAGUCCGACGAUACAGGGUGAUAGUCCCGUAGUUGACGACGUGUGUUCAGUGAAAUCGAGUAGGGCGGGACACGUGAUAUCCUGUCUGAAUAUGGGGGGACCAUCCUCCAAGGCUAAAUACUACUGACUGACCGAUAGUGAACCAGUACCGUGAGGGAAAGGCGAAAAGAACCCCUGUGAGGGGAGUGAAAUAGAACCUGAAACCGUGUACGUACAAGCAGUAGGAGCAGGCUUUGUCCUGUGACUGCGUACCUUUUGUAUAAUGGGUCAGCGACUUAUAUUCAGUGGCAAGGUUAACCAUCUAGGGGAGCCGUAGGGAAACCGAGUCUUAACUGGGCGUUCAGUCUCUGGAUAUAGACCCGAAACCAGGUGAUCUAGCCAUGGGCAGGUUGAAGGUUGAGUAACAUCAACUGGAGGACCGAACCGACUAAUGUUGAAAAAUUAGCGGAUGACUUGUGGCUAGGGGUGAAAGGCCAAUCAAACCUGGAGAUAGCUGGUUCUCCCCGAAAGCUAUUUAGGUAGCGCCUCGGACGAAUACUACUGGGGGUAGAGCACUGUUAAGGCUAGGGGGUCAUCCCGACUUACCAACCCUUUGCAAACUCCGAAUACCAGUAAGUACUAUCCGGGAGACACACGGCGGGUGCUAACGUCCGUCGUGGAGAGGGAAACAACCCAGACCGCCAGCUAAGGUCCCAAAUUACUACUAAGUGGGAAACGAUGUGGGAAGGCUCAGACAGCCAGGAUGUUGGCUUAGAAGCAGCCAUCAUUUAAAGAAAGCGUAAUAGCUCACUGGUCGAGUCGGCCUGCGCGGAAGAUGUAACGGGGCUAAGUAGUAAACCGAAGCUGCGGCAAUGUGCUUUUGCACAUUGGGUAGGGGAGCGUUCUGUAAGCGGUUGAAGGUGUGUGGUAACGCAUGCUGGACGUAUCAGAAGUGCGAAUGCUGACAUGAGUAACGAUAAAGGGGGUGAAAAACCUCCUCGCCGGAAGACCAAGGGUUCCUGUCCAACGUUAAUCGGGGCAGGGUAAGUCGACCCCUAAGGCGAGGCCGAAAGGCGUAGUCGAUGGGAAACGGGUUAAUAUUCCCGUACUUCUUACAAUUGCGAUGGGGGGACGGAGAAGGCUAGGUGGGCCUGGCGACGGUUGUCCAGGUUCAAGUGCGUAGGCUUAAGAGUUAGGUAAAUCCGGCUCUUUUUAAGGCUGAGACACGACGUCGAGCAUCUACGGAUGUGAAGUCAUUGAUGCCAUGCUUCCAGGAAAAGCCUCUAAGCUUCAGAUUGUAAGGAAUCGUACCCCAAACCGACACAGGUGGUCGGGUAGAGAAUACCAAGGCGCUUGAGAGAACUCGGGUGAAGGAACUAGGCAAAAUGGUACCGUAACUUCGGGAGAAGGUACGCUCUCGACGGUGAAGUCCCUCGCGGAUGGAGCUAUUGAGAGUCGCAGAUACCAGGUGGCUGCAACUGUUUAUUAAAAACACAGCACUGUGCAAAAUCGUAAGAUGACGUAUACGGUGUGACGCCUGCCCGGUGCCGGAAGGUUAAUUGAUGGGGUUAGACUUCGGUCGAAGCUCUUGAUCGAAGCCCCGGUAAACGGCGGCCGUAACUAUAACGGUCCUAAGGUAGCGAAAUUCCUUGUCGGGUAAGUUCCGACCUGCACGAAUGGCGUAAUGAUGGCCACGCUGUCUCCACCCGAGACUCAGUGAAAUUGAAAUCGCUGUGAAGAUGCAGUGUACCCGCGGCUAGACGGAAAGACCCCGUGAACCUUUACUACAGCUUGGCACUGAACAUUGACCCUACAUGUGUAGGAUAGGUGGGAGGCUUUGAAGCACGUACGCCAGUAUGUGUGGAGCCGUCCUUGAAAUACCACCCUUGUAGUGUUGAUGUUCUAACGUCGACCCCUUAUCGGGGUUGCGGACAGUGCCUGGUGGGUAGUUUGACUGGGGCGGUCUCCUCCCAAAGAGUAACGGAGGAGCACGAAGGUGGGCUAAUCACGGUUGGACAUCGUGAGGUUAGUGCAAUGGCAUAAGCCCGCUUGACUGCGAGAAUGACAAUUCGAGCAGGUGCGAAAGCAGGUCAUAGUGAUCCGGUGGUUCUGAAUGGAAGGGCCAUCGCUCAACGGAUAAAAGGUACUCCGGGGAUAACAGGCUGAUACCGCCCAAGAGUUCAUAUCGACGGCGGUGUUUGGCACCUCGAUGUCGGCUCAUCACAUCCUGGGGCUGAAGUCGGUCCCAAGGGUAUGGCUGUUCGCCAUUUAAAGUGGUACGCGAGCUGGGUUUAGAACGUCGUGAGACAGUUCGGUCCCUAUCUGCCGUGGGCGUUGGAAGAUUGAAGGGGGCUGCUCCUAGUACGAGAGGACCGGAGUGGACGAACCUCUGGUGUUCGGGUUGUGUCGCCAGACGCAUUGCCCGGUAGCUAAGUUCGGAAUCGAUAACCGCUGAAAGCAUCUAAGCGGGAAGCGAGCCCUGAGAUGAGUCUUCCCUGAUACUUUAAGUAUCCUAAAGGGUUGUCGGAGACUACGACGUUGAUAGGUCAGGUGUGUAAGUGCUGUGAGGCAUUGAGCUAACUGAUACUAAUUGCCCGUGAGGCUUAACCAUACAACACCCAAGGGGUUU